CAAGCCAUGUGGCCAGAGCCAUUUUGGGCCUUGCCCCCAGUCCUCUCAGGAUCAGUCAUAUGGCCAGUGCCCUGAGGGGGGUCGGAACUCGGCUCUGAAGAUGGAACUGGGGAUGUGGUAGCCUGGCUCUGGACUGGAUCAGAUGCAUCUUGCAAGAAUUUCUUCUGUGUCGUCAACUUUUAAAUAGAAUUCCCUGAAACGGCCUGAUGUUGAGACACCAUGGUUCCAAGAUUGCAGAGGAGGAAAGUGAACGCCGUUUUUCACAACUGGGGACUGGUCCGGGAUAUAACAUCUCACCUCUGAGACCACUGGGAGAUCCUGAGUGGAGGAGGCACACCCCUGCUGAGUUCAGCGGCCUCCUGCUCCAUUUCUUCUGGUGUAGGUCAGUGGUUUGCAGGUAAAUACCCCAUGGACAAGGAGGAGACAAAUAAAUCAAAGGAAAGGGAAAAGGUUCCCUAAACCACGGUAUUUUAGCCCAACAAUUCUUGUGCACAAAGGUGCACAAAG